AGAAACGUAUUUUGGACUUAA
rnacentral:snRNA from 1 species